AAAAAAAAAAAAAAAAAAAAAAAAACAACACAGCCCUGCAGCUUCCACUUACUUUUUUGCUGUGAAUAUCUUCUCUUUGUUGCUGUUUGUUGUUUUGUUGGCUGCAGUUCUUUCUCCACACUGCAGUU
rnacentral:ribozyme from 14 species